rnacentral:rRNA from 1 species
CCUACGGGGGGCAGCAGUGAGGAAUAUUGGUCAAUGGGCGCGAGCCUGAACCAGCCAAGUAGCGUGAAGGAUGACUGCCCUACGGGUUGUAAACUUCUUUUAUAAAGGAAUAAAGUGAGGCACGUGUGCCUUUUUGUAUGUACUUUAUGAAUAAGGAUCGGCUAACUCCGUGCCAGCAGCCGCGGUAAUACGGAGGAUCCGAGCGUUAUCCGGAUUUAUUGGGUUUAAAGGGUGCGUAGAUGGGUUGUUAAGUCAGUUGUGAAAGUUUGCGGCUCAACCGUAAAAUUGCAAUUGAUACUGGGAGGCUGGAGUACGGUUGAGGUAGGCGGAAUGCGUGGUGUAGCGGUGAAAUGCUUAGAUAUCACGAAGAACUCCGAUUGCGAAGGCAGCUUACUAAGCUGUGACUGACAUUGAUGCUCGAAAGUGUGGGGAUCAAACAGGAUUAGAUACCCCGGUAGUC